GCCAGGUGCAGUGGUGUGCACCUCAGUCCCUGCUCCUCAAGAGGGUGAGGCAGGAGGAUCACUUAAGUCCAGGAGUUCUGGUCUGUAGUGCACUCUGCCAGUCGGGUGUCUGUGCUAAGUUUGACUUCAAUAUAGUGACCACCCUCUCCCCUGGGAUCAGGGUACCACCAGGUCAGAUACAGAGAGGGUCAAAACUCUCCUGCUGACCAGUACUGGGAUCACACCUGUAAAUAGCCACUGCACUCCAGCCUGGGCAAGUAUAAGAUGCUAGCUCU
rnacentral:SRP_RNA from 1 species